AGCACUUCUUUGAUGUAUAGAUAGGUCACGUUUGUGACAAAAUAACUUUCUAGAAAUAAUCUUUUCAACUUAAUUUAUGCGGUCUAACUCUUCUUCCUUAGGCUACUUUGUUAUUUAUUUUCAGGUCCUUAAAAUGCUCUGCAUACAGAUGUAUCCAUGUGGUGUAAAAGGAGAAAGGCUUUUUUUUUUUUAGCAAGGUAGUGGAUGACAGCUGAAGAAUCUGCUGCUUUUGACUAAAGAUGGCACUAUUCCUUUACUCAGAAAAGGCAUGAGAAAAGUUGUUAACAGUUUUCCACAACUGGAACUGCAGCAGACAGAGGUGGAGGUUUCUGAAUUGCACCAAGAAUGUGAUGGUGGUGAUGCCUUCCUUGAAGAGGAGCUGCAUUUCCUCUGAAUGGUUUGAGUCCUGGUGGAAGCUAGGAAGAGCCUGAGGAGGCAAGAAUGGAGAUGACCAGGACCAGUCCUUAGAUAAGCAGAAAGUUAGAAUUUUUUCCUCUAAUCCUAAUUGUGUAAGUAUCUUUGUACCUAGUGUUUUUAAAAGCUUUAAUAUAGUAUGUGUCUGUGGAAUUAUUCUGUUUAAAUCACACUGAUGCUUCCAUGUUAACAGACAUGCAAGCUAGACAGAUUUAUAAGCUAUGUAAAAGAUGACAAAUUUCCAGAAUAAAAACACAGCAUAGGGUGUAUUUUUUACAUAACUGUGCUUCUUGCUAGUGCAAUAUCCAGCACAGACUAGGAGCUGUGAAAGAAUUGCGUGCUUUGAAGUUCCCUAUCCAGCUAGUGGAUGGGAGAUUACCUGUAGCUGUGUUUUUACCUGUGUUUUUUAUGUUGUUGGUUUUUAAUUUUUAUCUUAAAUGUGUGCCUGCAUUUAAAAAAAAAAAAAAGAUUCUUUUUGUUGUUGGAAGUUGAACUCCUUCUCCAAGUAUUGUUGUCUUAUAUGUCAUAACAAUGAACGUAAUUUCAUAUUCAGCUCUAAGGGCCUUGACAGCUUGCUGUUCAACUUUGUCAGUUUUUUUUGUAUAAUUCUGAAGUCUGCCAUCCUGAAGCAAAAUUUCUUUUUUUAAGACUUCAAAGUCUUUUAGGCUCUGAUAGUAUCUCUAGAAGUGUAUUUUGUAAAAUCUAUCAUAACAAUUAAUUUUUAUGCUAUAUGCUCAGAUUCUUGAAUUGCCGAUUGGAUCCUCCUUGUUCUUUCUGUGCUAACCAGUAUAUAUUGUCUGGAGUAGAAACAAUCUAUAGUGGUCAUUCUUUCUAGGUAGUUCAUCCUAACUGAGGAAGUUGCAGAUUUGUUGCAGAUUUCUCUCAACUGAAGCUUAUGGUUAGUGUCAUUUCUCCUUGCCUUUGCCCAGUAAUCUAAUCCCAAACAUGGUGGACAAGGGUUUGUUUAUCUGUAUUUCGUGGGAAAAGAAUUAAAAAAUGACCUCUUUUCUGACAUUCAGGAUCUUAGAAUUUAGUAAUCUUCCUGCUACAAAUAAACGCUGUCUAAAGAAGAAGAUGAUCUUC
rnacentral:lncRNA from 7 species